rnacentral:hammerhead_ribozyme from 1 species
GUGUUGAUGAGGAGUCCUAAAAUAGGACGAAACAGCUGUCCAGUGC